rnacentral:rRNA from 1 species
UACGGAGGAUGCAAGCGUUAUCCGGAAUGAUUGGGCGUAAAGCGUCCGCAGGUGGCUGUGUAAGUCUGCUGUCAAAGAGCGAAGCUCAACUUCGUAAAGGCAGUGGAAACUACACGGCUAGAGUGCGUUCGGGGCAGAGGGAACUCCUGGUGUAGCGGUGAAAUGCGUAGAGAUCAGGAAGAACACCGGUGGCGAAAGCGCUCUGCUAGGCCGCAACUGACACUGAGGGACGAAAGCUAGGGGAGCGAAUGGG